rnacentral:rRNA from 1 species
UACGUAAGAGACUAGUGUUAUUCAUCAUAAUUAGGUUUAAAGGGUACCUAGACGGUCAAAAAUAGCAUGUUAAAAUGUAAAUGUAACUACUUGACUAGAGUUUUAUGGAAGAGGGCAGAACUUGCGGAGGAGAGAUAAAAAUUUCGUAAUACCAAAAAGGACUGGUAAAGGUGAAGACAGCCCCUUUAUUUUAAAAAACUGACGUUUGAGGGGACGAAAGGCAUAGGUAACAAAAAGG